AUUGAACGCUGGCGGCAGGCUUAACACAUGCAAGUCGAGCGGUAGCACAGGGGAGCUUGCUCCCUGGGUGACGAGCGGCGGACGGGUGAGUAAUGUCUGGGAAACUGCCUGAUGGAGGGGGAUAACUACUGGAAACGGUAGCUAAUACCGCAUAACGUCGCAAGACCAAAGAGGGGGACCUUCGGGCCUCUUGCCAUCAGAUGUGCCCAGAUGGGAUUAGCUAGUAGGUGGGGUAAUGGCUCACCUAGGCGACGAUCCCUAGCUGGUCUGAGAGGAUGACCAGCCACACUGGAACUGAGACACGGUCCAGACUCCUACGGGAGGCAGCAGUGGGGAGUAUUGCACAAUGGGCGCAAGCCUGAUGCAGCCAUGCCGCGUGUGUGAAGAAGGCCUUCGGGUUGUAAAGCACUUUCAGCGAGGAGGAAGGUGGUGAGCUUAAUACGUUCAUCAAUUGACGUUACUCGCAGAAGAAGCACCGGCUAACUCCGUG
rnacentral:rRNA from 1 species